UAGCUGUGUGACAAGUAGUCCCUUCUUCCAUAAAUAAAGAGUCUUCUUUAAUCAUUUCACCACCGGAGAAGAUUGGAAAGAGUCCUUUUUGCAAUAUGGACACAUAUUUAUCUGAGUUUAUAUUUCCCUCACACUCCACCAGCUCUGAUCAACCAUUGCUCCAGAUUGUUCCCCAGACCAUCACAGAAUAGCUGCCGUGUUUCAUUGUUGG